rfam:Actinobacteria bacterium 13_1_20CM_3_71_11 13_1_20cm_3_scaffold_555, whole genome shotgun sequence.
ACCGGUCCUCGGUAGUGGCCCUCGGAACCCGUAGCGGUUUCCGUGGGCUUCCAUCGAAGACCGGC